CGAAUCAAAAUGGCAUCGGCUCCGGCCAAAAUAAUUCACGACAGGGCGUUCUGCACAACAUGGUCCGGCCGAUAACCUCUAUAAUCAUGGCGGCCUACACAACACGACGCUUGCCCCGGACCGAUUGUUCUUCACAACACGACGCUGCUUGACCAGCUAAGUGUUUUGGCAACGGUUCCGCCAAGGCUCUGUAAGGAAAAAGCAAAGAUCAUAGAGCUCUUUGGGGAAAAAAGGACAGCAAUCCAGGGCAAAGAUACUAGAGUAGUAUCUUUGAUCUAGGGUCCUUCCGCUGCUGGAUAUUGAGGGGCAGAGUCGGUGGAGGCAUCCCAUUGGUUCUCUGGGCGGAUCUCCAACCCGAAUUGUUAACCCUGUCCUCUCUCUGCAUAUGCUGCCUAACCUACUGAGUGUUUUCAACAUUUUCAGAUUUAAUUUUUUGAUCAAAGUAGUCUUGCCACGUCCAGCCAGAAGUAGCUAUUAGAUUAUUAAGUGGAUAUCCGAGGAGGGGCUCCAAGAACGUGCCUCUCUGUAAACAUGCACAUGGCAGAAACAUUCAGCAAAAUACAAUCGGGUGUGCUGGAGAAACACAGUGGAUCUGUCUGUGGAGGGAAUGGAUAGAUGAUUCACCACCAAGGUCAACAAGAAGUAGCAAGUAAUGAUUCAUCCUGACUCCACCUGAUGCCCACACCAUCACGGCAGACAGUCUCCCGCCAAUUCAAUUCACUCCAAGCGAAAUCAGUGAACAGCUGAGAGCACUGGAUACAGUAAAGGCUACAGGACCAGACAACGAUAUUGGUUUAAUAUUGUCACAUGUACUGAGGUACAGUGAAAAGCUUUUGUU